AGAGUUUUAGUUUAUUCAGAAUAUAUCGCUUACAACGAUGAGGUUAUAAACUCUU
rnacentral:tRNA from 1 species